UAAGCGGAGGAAAAGAAACUAACAAGGAUUCCCCUAGUAACUGCGAGUGAAGCGGGAAAAGCUCAAGUUUCAAAGCUCCACGGUUACCGUGCGCGUUGUAGACUGAAGGGGCGCUAUCUUUUUGCAUGGCCCGGGUAUAGAUCCGUUGGAACGCGGUAUCAUAGAGGGUGAGAAUCCCGUCCAUGACUCGGGGACAAUUCCAUGCAUGUACGUUGCGCUUCCAAAGAGUCGGGUUGUUUGGGAAUGCAGCCCAAAAUGGGUGGUAAACUUCAUCUAAGGCUAAAUAUUGGCACGAGACCGAUAGCGAACAAGUACCGUGAGGAAAGAUGAAAAGCACUUUGAAAAGAGAGUCAAAAAGUACGUGAAACCGUUAAGUGGGAAACGAAUGGGGCUAGCAUUUGUAUCUUGGCCACAAUCAGUCGGACCAUUCGGGACCGGCGUGGCGUUGGGAGCCUUUCGUGUGCGCCGUCAAAAAGCGUAUUAGCGAGGGGCCUCAUGCUGCGACGUGAAUUCUCGGAUGAGCUCGGUGCACUUGUGGUCGGUAUCAGGCCAACAUCAGUUCGGUUGCCAAAGCGGAAGGUUUCGGCCUCCCGUCUUGUUGGACAGGAACCUUUAGGGGAAGGUGGUCACGCCAGGUUCUUCGUCUUCGGGCGAAAGCUUGACGUGACGUUAUAGCCCCUUUAGGAAACACCARGGAGUCGCGGCCCGGACUGAGGAGAUAAAGCAGCACGCUUACUUUGCAGAGUUUCCGCUGGGACGCCGAGCGGUUCGGGACUGUGCCAAAAAAGUGCAGUGUCGGGCGCUUUUUGUGCGUUUCACUCAUACGAGCCACGGAAAUCUACGCGUUACUCGUGCUUGUGAUGUUGGCGAAAUGGCCUUAUCCGACCCGUCUUGAAACACGGACC
rnacentral:rRNA from 1 species